rnacentral:rRNA from 1 species
GACGGAGGAGGCAAGCGUUAUCCGGAAUCACUGGGCGUAAAGCGCGUGCAGGCGGCUUCGCAAGUCGGUCGUUAAAUCUCCUGGCUUAACUGGGAGGCGUCGUCCGAAACUGCGGGGCUUGAGGUUGGGAGAGGGAAGUGGAAUUCCCGGUGUAGUGGUGGAAUGCGUAGAUAUCGGGAGGAACACCAGUGGCGAAGGCGGCUUCCUGGCCCACACCUGACGCUAAGACGCGAAAGCGUGGGGAGCGAACAGG